rnacentral:lncRNA from 1 species
CAGUAUGUUGCCCAGGCGGGUCUGAAACUCCUGGGUUCAAGCAAUCCACCAGCCUCGGCCUCCCAAAAUGCUGGGAUUACAGACGUGAGCUGCUGCAUCCAGCUGAGAUUUUAAAGUAUUUCAUAAAAGUCUUGCACAUUUCUCUUUGGGUGGAUUCUUCGGGUAUUUUUUGUUACUAUUGUGAAUGGAAUCCUUCCUUUUGUUGCAUUUUCUCAUUGUUAUUUGGAUAUAGACGAGCUAUUAGUUUUCUCACAUUAAUUUGAAAUCACCCAUCUAUUUGGGCUCUCUUCACAUUGGCCUAUAAUGUUCUGUUUGCUUCAGUUUUCCUUUUCUUUUCCAAAGCUUGGAAUAUCUCAACAGCUCUCAUAUAAAAUUCCAAGUGUCCAAAACUGAAGUUCUUCCCAGUCUGACUAGAAACCUAGUCCUCUCCCAGGAUCCAUCAGUUCAGAGACCUUACCAGCCCCCAUCAAAGGCACAAGCGAGGCUGGGCGCGGUGGCUUACGCCUGUAAUCCCAGCACUUUGGGAGGCCGAGGUGGGAGGAUCACGAGGUCAAGAGAUCGAGACCAUCCUGGCCAACAUGGUGAAACCCCGUCUCUACUAAAAAUACAAAAAUUAGCUGGGUGUGGAGGUGCGUGCCUGUAGUCGCAGCUACUUGGGAGGUUGAGGCAGGAGAAUCGCUUGAACCCAGGAGGCGGAGGUUGCAGUGAGCCAAGAUCACGCCACUGCACUCCAGCCUGGGCGACAGAACGAGACUAUCCCCCCCACCAAAAAAAUACUACUUGUGGUUUCACCCACUCCAACAAUGAACUACAGCAAAAACUUAGUACUUUAUUCAAUCUUGAGAAAGUUUCUAAUUUGUGUCAAUACUUCUAAUAUUUCUCUAGCCUGUGGCUAGAAACUUUCACUGCAAUGUUAUUCCUCUCUUCUUCUUAUAUUUCUGUGUCUCCAAGUCCUAUCACUAUCUUCUUCUGAAUGUCUCUUGAAUUUGUCUGUUCUGUAUUUUUAUACCCACUCUCUUCUUCUUGGCAUCACCUAUGCACAACUGUGCCCUCCCUGAUGGAAGCCUCCCUGGUCCACAAGACAUUUAGCCACUACAUCAAUCUUUUUUGUAUCUGUAGAGGUAAGAUCUCACUCUCUGCCCAGUCUAGAGUGCAGGGGCACAAUCAUGGCUGACUGCAGCCUCAGACUCUUGGGCUCAAGUGAUCCUCCCACCUCGGCCUCCUGAGUAGCUGGGACUAUAGGCAUGCACCACUAUGCUCAGCUAAUUUUCCUAUUUUUAAAAAAUCUCUGUAGAAACAAGGUCUCACUAUGUUGCCCAGGCUGCUCCAAACACCUGGCCUCAAGUGAUCCUCCUGCCUCAGCCUCCCCAAGUGCUGAGAUUACAGGACUAAGCCACUGUGCCUGGCCCAGAUCAAUCUUUUGAAUGCCAUUUUCAUGUUCUUAUGCAAAAACAUCAACAACAACAAACAACAACAACAAAAAUCUCUAAUGACUCUGUAUUUUACUGUGAAUCCUGAGUUUCUCCCUGGGUAUUAAGAUUUCCCAUUCCCUAACAACACAUUUAUUCCCCAUUAUUCCUCAUGGUAUAGCUUGGAUUAGCCCCUUUUACCCACCCCAGCUACCUCCCAGAGUUUAUUCUUGCUUCUUAACCCAUCAGACAAUCCCUCUCUCCUUGCUGGGCCCUAACCUACAUUCAGGGUCCAGGCCAGGCAUUUUGUCAGUGAAGCCUCACUCAAGCCAGUGUUUCCCAAACGUCAGUCUGUGAUGACAUUUUCACUAGUGCCAAAACCAAAAAAAUAAGGACAAUGUAAGCGGGGUUUUCAUAAAACGAAACUAAUUUUAAGUGGCUGUUCUUUGUUGUGAUGUUAUGUCUUUCCUGCUUUUUUCAUGUUAAAAUGUUCUUUCUUUAAUGAAAGAGGUAACAAAAAACGGUGACAGAGCAGUGACUUAGCAAAAUAAAAACUGGGCAAUAUUAUACUGAUCCCCACAUGUACAUAAAUGUUUCGACUGCUCUGGGAAUUACAACUCUAACCAUCAGUGAUCAGCUCCCUCUUUUUAAUCCUAUUUAAGAAUCAUAUAGUUUAGUAUUCAAUUACUUCCCAUACAGGUGGCUUUGUUCCCCAGCUAAGUUAGGCCCCUCUGAGGGAGGAACCAUCCAUCCAUCCAUUCAUUCAUUCAUUUUCUGGGCCAGCGUUUCGCUCUGUCACCCAGGCUAGAAUGCAGUGGCACGAACACAGCUCACUGCAGUCUCGAACUCCUGGGCUCCAGUGAUGCUCCCACCACAGCCUCCUGAGUACCUGGGACUACAGGGCAUGCACCACCACCCCUGACUAAUUUUUCAAUUUCUUGUAGGGACAAGGUCUUACUAUGUUGCCCAGGCUGGUAUCAAACUGAGCUUAAGCAAUCCUCCCGCCUCAGCCUCCCCAAGUGCUGUGCCACUUCCAAGGCCACUGUACCAGAGCCACUGAUCUGUCAAUUCUGAUACAAAUUUAGGAUAUCUUCAAAUUUGCAUUGAAGGAAAAAAAGUCACAUUUCAGUUAUAUCAACAGAUUCAAAUGCCAAAAAUGUUAAGCCCAUACAGGAGAACUGAACUCCAUUCCAUUAUCUGCAACUGAAACAAACACUUCUUUCCAAUCUUGCUCAGUAAGUUUAUGCAUACACAAGACUCACACAUGUUUCCACUAUUCAGACACCAUUAAAUGAUCAAAUGAUUUCUUCCUGCGGGGAAAACUGUCUAAGUUAACAAAACACACUUUAGCACCCACCGGCCAUGCCUAUUGGCUUUGGAGGUGGGAACAGAUCUCUGGUAAAGUGACAGUCCUGAGGUAAGUUUUCAAAACACCUGUUUGCUUAAAAUAUGGAUGUUACAGUUCAUCUUCUACAAUUGCACUAAAUUAAAAAUAAAUGACAAAAUCAUGUGAACUAUUUGCCAUCAGAAGUGUGACAGAAUUCAGAUCAUACCCCAAACGUGGCAGGGUUAGGCAGAGCUGUUGUGGCAAAAACUGUCUCUUCUGUGAGACACAACUGAGCCCCAAGGACGAGGUGGGGAUGUGCCACCUGCUGCCUGUCCCCACGGGUUCCCUGCCAGCACCAAACAUUAAUACUAUCUGUGUGAUCCUUUCUAGUCCAGAAAGCUCUUCUAGAAACACUAUUCUCUUCUUAUUCUCAUAGGAUGAGGGACAUGGACACACAGACAGAUGGAUUUUUUUCCUAAUUCAUGGGUGAAGGCAUCUCUGCUGCACCCCCAUCCCACUCUACAUUAAUGCGGCAUCAUCAUAGCUCUUUGCAGAGCCUGAAAUUAAACCCUUUCUUUAUUUGCAUUCUUCUUAAUGCCUAGCUCCACUGAAGCAAGUACUGUGUCUUUUAUUCUUAACCACUGUCUCCCCAGAGGCUGAAACAGUGCCUGGCACAUGCAGUUGACUUUAAACAUAUUUGUUAAAUGGUAUUAGGUAAUGACUUUUUUUUUUUUAACUGUGUAGUUAACCCACUAGAAUGUAAGCAUCAAGAAGGCAGACGCUGCCUUCUCAACCAUUACAUUCCUAGCACGGAAGCACAGGGCCUGGCAGAAAUUAGCGCUUGAUCAAUGUUUGUUGAAAUCAAUGGAUAACUGCCUGCUUGAAUGAAUGUAUGAAAACAACUGUUUUGCAAGCGCCACAAUGUGAUGUGUCUGACUCCUAUGCCAUGUUCACAAGGAGUCGAGAGCCUGGAAGCUUUGCACACUACUGCCUGGAAGAUCUGAUUCUUUGGAAAUAAAAUAUAUAUAUAUAUUCUGCAGGUUCAAAGCAGAAGUAUUAUUAUAAUGAGGGAGAAAUAAAGUAAUAAAGUACAUGUCAAAAAACAAGUACUAAAGUCCAGAGGGCAUUUGGAACUUUUUUUUUUUUUUUUGAGAUGGAGUCUUGCUCUGUUGCCCAGGCUGGAGUGCAGUGGCACGAUCUCAGCUCGUUGCAAACUCCACCUCCCAGGUUCAAGCGAUCCUCCUGCCUCAGCCCCCCUAGUAGCUGGGAUUACAGGCAUGUGCCACCAUGCCCGGCUAAUUUUUGUAUUUUUAGUAGAGACGAGGUUUCGCCAUGUUGGCCAGGCUGGUCUCGAACUCCUGACCUCAGGUGAUCCACCCGCCUCGGCCUCACAAAGUGCUGGGAUUACAGGCGUGAGCCACCGCGCCCGGCCAAAAACGGGACACGGAACUUUUUAUUUGAACAAAGCUCUCAUGAAGGAACCGUCAUUUUUACAUCUUAAGGAAUGAUCUUCAAGGAUUUGUUACACCAUCACAUUCCAAGAAAACCGGUAACUGGGGAUCACUCUCUAUUUUUUAACAUUAAAAUGUUAUUUUUCCCAACACCCUCACAGAAUCUGCAGCCCCUGAAGUAGGAGCUCUUCCUGGAUGGAGAAAGAAGACAGGUCGCACACAGGAAGCAAUUGCCAAAGCUAUUGUUUUCUUUCGUUUGGUUUUUUCUUAAGUAUUAUAGGCUAACACCUUUGCUUUGGAAGGUAAGAAAAGUGUCUCAUUAAAGUCUAUCUAUAUAGGACAAUUUCUAUCUCCAGAUAAUGUUUCUGUCUUAAAUAAACCCAGUGGAAUGUUUUACAGCGGAACAAGGGCAAGGCCAGACUCAGCGGCUCAUGCCUGUAAUCCCAGCACUUUGGGAGGCUGAGGCAGGAAGAUUCCUUGAGCCCAGGAGUUGGAGACCACCCCUGAGCAACGUAACAAGACACUGUAUCUUAAAAAAAAAAAAAUAGAAAUUAGCCAGUUCAGUGGUUUGCACUACUCAGCACCAGCUACUCAGGAGGCUGAGGGAGGAGAACUGCUUGAACCCAAGAGUUCAAGGCUGCGGUAAGCUAUGACUGCACCACCGCACUCCAGCCUGGGCAACAGAGUGAGAUGCCGUCUCUUUAAAAGAAUAAAUAAAUAAGAAGAAGAAAGGAAAAAAAAAAGUAAUCAUAAGUAAUAGCAAGAGAAAGCAAUGUCAGUAUUUUCUCUCUCUGUGUUCUACCAAAUGAGGCAGUAUUAUUAUUUUAUAGAGAUAGGAUUUUGCUAUGUUGCCCAGGCUGGUCUCAAACUCUUGGUCUCAGCAAUCCUUCUGCCUCAGCCUCCCGGAGUGCUGGAAUUCCAGGUGUGAGUCAACAUUUCCAACCGAGGCAGUAUUAAUUUGACACAUAGAAAGAUCAACAGAAAAUCCAAAGGCGGCCAGGCGUGGUGGCUCACCAGCACUUUGGGAGGCCAAGGCAGGUGGAUCACCUGAGGUCAGGAGUUUGAGACCAGCCUGACCAACGCAGUGAAACCCUACCACUACUAAAAAUACAAAAUUAGCCAGGCGUGGUGGCGCAAGCCUAUAAUCCCAGCUACUGGGGAGGUUGAGGCAGAAGAAUCACUUGAACCUGGGGGACGAAGGCUGCAGUGAGCCAAGAUUCUGCCAUUGGACUCCAGCCUGGAGACAGAGCAAAAUUCUAUGUCAAAAAAAGAAAAGAAAAGAAAAUCCGAAGGUGAGGAUGAAGUUUAGCAAGGUAAUACACUGCAAAAACCCCACACGUGGCUAUGAAAACCCCAGGAAAUACACACAAUCUUCUAAAACAAAGUGCCUUAUAAUUUCUUUCCUAUUUAUCAUUUUAUAGUGCUACUUCCAUAACACUGAAGUAUUUAACGGUAUUAUUUUGCCUGGUUUUAUCAUAAAAGCCAUUAUAAUUAUUUGGCUAAUCAUUAUUCACAUCACAGUAUAAAUCAGGGUAAAAUAAUUAUGCUCAACUUGAUUGAGCAUAGAAGGAAAAUAGAAGCUCAGAGAGAUUAAGCAACAGCUCGAGGUGACCUGGCAAAGUUAGUGACGGAGAUAAGAACUGAUCCAUCUCCUCAAUGAAAACCACAGCAUUCACUGACUCACGCUACUUCAUCAAGACAACUGAGCAUUAGAAUGAAAACAUUUUGGUGGCUCAUGCCUGUAAUCCCAGCAGUCUGGGAGGCCGAGGCGGGUGGAUCACAAGGUCAGGAGCUCGAGACCAGCCUGGCCAAAAUGGUAAAACCCCGUCUCUACUAAAAAUACAAAAAAAGUUAGCUGGGCCUGGUGUUGGGCACCUGUAAUCCCAGCUACUCGGGAGACUGAGGCAGGAGAAUUGCUUGAACCUGGGAGGCGUGGGUUGCAGUGAGUCCAGAUCACGCAACUGCACUCCAGCCUGGGCAACGAGUGAGACUCCAUCUCAAAAAAAAAAAAAAGAAAAAAUUUGUCACAACAUUAAACGUUUCCAGUCGAUGUAGCUAACAAUAGAUUCAUAAGAUCAUUUAAAACUUAAAAAAAAAAAAAAUCAACCAGACACAGUGGCUCACGCCUGUAAUCCCAGCACUUUGGGAGGCCAAGGCAGGUGGAUCACAUGAGGUCAGGAGUUCGAGACCAGCCUGGCCAACAUGGUGAAACCCCGUCUCUACCAAAAAUAUAAAGAAUUAGCUGGGUAUGGUGGCAUGCACCUAUAAUCCCAGCUACUUGGGAGGCUAAGGCAGGACAAUCGCUUGAACCCAGGGGGCUGAGGUUGCACUGAGCCAAAAUCAUGCCACUGCACUCCAGCCUGGGUGACAGAGUGAGAUUCCAUCUCAAAAAAAAAAAAAAAAUUGGUCAUGACCCAGCAAUUUCACCCUUAGGUAUGUCCUCAAUGCAAAUGCACAGAUACAUGCUCACCAUGUAGUAAAAGGAUAAUAAAUAAUAGUAGCACAGUUCCUAAUAGUUCUUUUAUUGAUUGUACUGUUUGAUUGUACUCAGUUUUGGAACUGAGAACCAUUGAGAUGUCCAUCAACAAUACAAACAAUAAAAAAGUUGUGGUCAUCACAAAAUGGAAUACUAUACAGCAAUGAGAAUGGCAGAUCCUAACAACACACACAUUUAUGAAUGAAUCUCACAAACAUAAUAUUCAAUGAAAGCCACAAGACAAUACAUUUCAUACAAUGCCACUUAUAUAAAGUACAAAAGCAGACAGAACUAAUAUAUGCUGUUAAAGUUAGGCUAGUGAUUAUCCUUUAGCAGGAUAAGGUAAUGACCUGAAGGACGCAUGAAGAAGGUGACUGGGGAACUGGCCAUGCUCUAUGUCCUGACCUGGAUGCUAAUUAUAUACAUGUGUUCAGUUUGUGAGAAUUCAGUGAGCUGUACACUCAGAUAUUUAUAAAUCAAUCAUAAACAUCAAUAGACAGAAUAGAAAGUCCAAAUAUAGACCCAUGUCAACUGAUGUUCUUCAAAGAUGCCAAGACAAUUCGAUGAUGGGGGAAAAAAGAUAGCCUUGUCUAGACUGGAAAAUAAGAAAUCCAGCCAGAAUGAAUGGGAUAUCAUUAUGAAAAAAGAAUAAUAAUAAGUCUCAACCCUUACCUCACAUCAUACACAAAAAUUGGCCUCAAACGGAGCAGAAACAUAAAAAUUAAAUACAAUAACGUAAAAACUAGAUACCAUUAGGAAAAUGAAAGGGCAAGAGACAGACUGGGAGAAAAUAUUAACAACCCAUAUGACCAACAAAAGACCUGCAUCUAGAAUAAAGAACUCUACAACUCAAUUUAAAAAAAAAACCCAAUCCAAUUAAAAAAUUGAUAUUUGGCUGAGCACAGCAGCUCACAACUGUAAUCCCAACACUGGGAAGCCAAGGUGGGAGGAUGACUUGUGUCCAGGUGUUCAAGAUCAGCCUGGGCAAAACAGUGAGACCCUAUCUCUAUAAAAAUUUUUAAAAUUAACUUUUAAAUAGACACCUUACCAAAAAAGACAUCACAUGGCCAAUAAGCACAGAAAAACAUGCUCAGUAUCAAUAAUCAUUGGUACAAUGCACAAUGCACAUGAAAACCACAGUAAGGUACCACCACAUACCUACUAGAAUUGCUAAAAUUAAAAAGACUGACAAUACUAAGUGCUAGCAAGGAGGUGGAAGUAGCAGUAGUAAGUAGUGUUUUCCUGACUCCUGGAGACAUUCUAGCAAAUUAUUAUUAUUUUGAGACAGGGUCUACACUCUGUCACCCAGGCUGGAGUGCAGUGGCACAAUCACAGCUCACUGCAGCCUCAACCUCCCAGGUUCAAGCGAUCCUCCCACCUCAGCCUCCCCAAGUAGCUGGGACUACAGGCAUGCGCCACCAAGCCUGGCUCAUUUUGUUUAAUUUUUUGUACAGCUGGAAUCUCAGUCUGUUGCUCAGGCUGGGCUUGAACUCCUGGCCUCAAGUGAUCUGCCUGCUUCAGCCUCCCAAAGUGCUGGGAUUACAGGAUUACAGGCCUCUAGCAAAUUACUGAACCUGCAAAGGGAACCCCCGAUUUAUUUAUUAGUCAGAAAUAUAGGUGACAACCUUUGAUUUGCAACUCAUGGAUAAGGUAGGAGUAGUCUUGUGGGACUGAGCCCUUAACCUGUGGGGUCUUUGCUAAUUCUGGGGAAUUAAGCGUUGGGAUUGAAUCGAACUGUAGAAUAGCCAGUUAGCAUCAGAAUUGGGAUUGAUGUGGGGAAAAAAAAAAAAAACCCACACAUUAGGUGUCAUCAGUGUCAUGUGUAACAACAGCUCAGAGUAUCACACACAGGUCAAUUUUUGUGUAUGAUGUGAGGUAAGGGUUGAGACUUAUUAUUAUUCUUUUUUCAUAAGGAUAUCCCAUUCAUUCUGGCUGGAUUUCCUAUUUUCCAGUCUAGACAAGGCUAUCUUUUUUUCCCCAUCAUCGAAUUGUCUUGGCACCUUUGAAGAACAUCAGUUGACAUGGGUCUAUAUUUGGACUUUCUAUUCUGUCUAUUGAUGUUUAUGAUUGAUUUAUAAAUAUCUGAGUGUACAGCUCACUGAAUUCUCACAAACUGAACACACGUAUAUAAUUAGCACCCAGGUCAGGAAAUAGAGCAUGGCCAGUUCCCCAGUCACCUUCUUCAUGUGUCCUGCAGGUCAUUACCUUAUCCUGGCUAAUUUUUUAUUUUUUAUAGCGAUGGGGUCUCGCAAUGUUGCCCAGCCUGGUCUCAAAUCCUGGGCUCAAGCGAUCCUCCAGCCACAGCCUACCGAAGUGCUGGGAUUACAGGCGUGGGCCCCCACACCCAGCCCCUACUCCUUAAGUGUGAGCUGUGUGUAGUGACUUCCUUCCAAAGAGUCCAGUAUGGAAAGAGAGGAAAAAAAAGUAACUUUACAGUGGAGAAACCUGACGAACACCAUCUCAGCCAGGUGAUCAAGGUCAACAUCAACAGUGACAAGUCACGCUGAUAUUAAGAGCAUGAAAUUUUGACAGGACCCGAUGAGAAUGGUACUUCACUUCUGUGGUCUUCCUCUCUAAAAUGCAUAAUCCCAAUCUAAUCAUGACACAAACAUCAAACACUUCCAGUGGAGGAACAUUCUACAAAUACCUGACCAGUGCUUCUCAAAGCUGUCAAGAUCAUCAAAAGCAAGGAAAGUCUAAGAAACUGUCACAGCCAAGAGCAACCUAAGGAAAUAUGACAACUAAAUGUGAUGUCAUAUCCUGGAUGGGAUCCUGAAACAGAACAUGUCAGUAGGUAAAAAAUAAGACAGUGAAAGCAUGGACUUGAGUUAGUAACAGUGUAUUAAAAUUGCUUCAUUAAUUGCAACAAAUGUACUGCAGUCAUGUUAGAUGCUGUUAAUUGGGGAAUCUGGACGUGUGUAUGCGUAUGUACAUGUGUGUGUGCGCAUGUGUGCAAGUGUGCAUGUGUGCACGUGUGCCCAUGUGUAUGUGUGUGCACGUGCAUGUGUGUGCGUGUGCCUGCAUGUGUGUGCACGUGUGUGCGCGUGUGGGGGCGGAAGGGGUAACAUGGGAACUGUCUGUCCUACCUUGGCAAUAAUUCCAUAAGUCCAAAAUUGUUCUAAAAAAUAAUGUCUAUAAUAAAAAAAAAAACAAAAAAGGUUACAGAACAGUGACGAGGUAAACUCUUUUUGGUAAAAUUGUGUGUAUGUGGAUAAAUGUGUAUUUAAGAGUCUGGAAUGAUGUCAACUAAUACAGUAUAAUUAUCUUUCUUUAAUAAUAAA